rnacentral:rRNA from 1 species
GCAUGCCCCGAAUUAUCUGGGCUACACGCGGGCUACAAUGGGUGGGACAAUGGGUAUCGACACCGAAAGGUGAAGGCAAUCUCCUAAACCCAUCCGUAGUUCGGAUUGUGGGCUGCAACUCGCCCACAUGAAGCUGGAAUCUGUAGUAAUCGUGUCUCAAAAUGGCACGGUGAGUAUGUCCCUGCUCCUU